rnacentral:lncRNA from 1 species
GGGGAUUGUGCAAAUCCUUAGGGGCUAGCUUAUGAUGCAAAGAAAUAUAUUAAUCACAUAAUCUUUUAUGGAUGUCUUAUCUUCCAAUUACUUAGAUCAUACAAAUUUUAAGCGAAUUUUAGUAAUUCAAAGUUUUAUGAAAAAUAUCAAAAUUUAGCUUAAUUUAUCAUUUUGCAAUCAAAGUGAUCCAUGCAUAGCC